UACGUAGGGUGCAAGCGUUAAUCGGAAUUACUGGGCGUAAAGCGUGCGCAGGCGGUUGUGCAAGACAGAUGUGAAAUCCCCGGGCUCAACCUGGGAACUGCAUUUGUGACUGCACGGCUAGAGUGUGUCAGAGGGGGGGGUAGAAAUUCCACGUGUAGCAGUGAAAUGCGUAGAUAUGUGGAGGAAUACCGAUGGCGAAGGCAGCCCCCCUGGGAUAAACACUG
rnacentral:rRNA from 1 species